rnacentral:rRNA from 1 species
UACGUAGGGGGCAAGCGUUGUCCGGAAUUAUUGGGCGUAAAGAGCUCGUAGGCGGUUUGUCGCGUCUGCUGUGAAAACCUAAGGCUCAACCUUGGGCUUGCAGUGGGUACGGGCAGACUAGAGUGCGGUAGGGGUGACUGGAAUUCCUGGUGUAGCGGUGGAAUGCGCAGAUAUCAGGAGGAACACCAGAGUGGCGAAGGCAGGUCACUGGGCCGCAACUGACGCUGAGGAGCGAAAGCAUGGGGAGCGAACAGG